rnacentral:rRNA from 1 species
AGAUUCGUCAAAGUUCAGAUUUGACUUAGUGGCGGACGGGUGAGUAAUGCAUGAGCAACCUGCCCUGCAGUGGGGGACAACAGUUGGAAACGACUGCUAAUACCGCAUAAGCGCACAGGACCGCAUGGUCCGGUGUGAAAAACUCCGGUGGUGUGAGAUGGACCCGCGUCUGAUUAGCCAGUUGGCGGGGUAACGGCCCACCAAAGCGACGAUCAAUAGCCGACCUGAGAGGGUGACCGGCCACAUUGGGACUGAGACACGGCCCAAACUCC